AUUGAACGCUGGCGGCAUGCCUUACACAUGCAAGUCGAGCGGGGUUUUCGGACCUAGCGGCGGACGGGUGAGUAAUGCGUAGGAAGCUACCCGAUAGAGGGGGAUACCAGUUGGAAACGACUGUUAAUACCGCAUAAUGUCUACGGACCAAAGUGUGGGACCUUCGGGCCACAUGCUAUCGGAUGCGCCUACGUGGGAUUAGCUAGUUGGUGGGGUAAUGGCUCACUAAGGCGACGAUCCCUAGCUGGUUUGAGAGGAUGAUCAGCCACACUGGAACUGAGACACGGUCCAGACUCCUACGGGAGGCAGCAGUGGGGAAUAUUGGACAAUGGGCGCAAGCCUGAUCCAGCCAUGCCGCGUGUGUGAAGAAGGCCUUCGG
rnacentral:rRNA from 1 species